rnacentral:rRNA from 1 species
GCCAAAAACCUAGUUUGCCCGCCCACACCAACCCACAUCCCCACCCUUUAAACCAAAACAUUUGACACGAUAAGUAGACGAGAUCGAACAUCCACACAACACAAUAGAGAUAGUACCGCAAGGGAAAGACGAAACAAACCACUUAAGCCACAAAAAGCAAAGAUAAAACCUUGUACCUUUCGCAUCAUGGUUUAGCGAGACCCACCCCCGGCAAAACGAACGCCAACCGGAACCCCCGAAACCAAGUGAGCUACCCCCAAGCAGCUAAACUGAGCCUAUCCCCCUCUGUAGCAAAAGAGCGGAGAGACUUUGGGGUAGAAGUGAAAAGCCUAUCGAACUUGGCAAUAGCUGGCUGCUCGAAACGAAUCUAAGUUCAACCCUGGCCACACAACAUUAUUCCAUCAAACAGCCAGGGAAACUCAUUAGAGGAACAGCCCUAAUGAAACGGGAUACAACCCGAACCUGAAAGGAACAAAUUUUAAACCACAAACCUGUAGGCCUUAAAGCAGCCCCCAUAAAAAAUAGCGUCAAAGCACCACCCCACCAUAAUCCCAAAAACCUUUCACACCUUCAGUAUAUCACCAAGAGCAACACUAUAAACAUAGAAAAACCAAUGCUAAAACUACUAACAAGAACCACUUCUCAAGACACCACCUCCAAUCAGAAACACCACCACUGAUAGUUAUCAGACACGGGGUAACCCAAUCCACAUAACCCCAAACAAAACUGUGACCCCAACACAGGAGUGUCUACCCAACGAAAGAUGAAAAGCAAAAAAAGGAACUCGGCAACCACUGACUUCAACUGUUUACCAAAAACAUAGCCUUUAGCCAAAACAAGUAUUAAAGGUGACGCCUGCCCAGUGAGGACAACACCCUUUAACGGCCGCGGUACCCUAACCGUGCAAAGGUAGCAUAAUCACUUGUCCACUAAUUAUGGACUAGAAUGAAAGGCUGCAUGAAAGUCAAACUGUCUCUUUAAGCCCAUCAGUGAAACUGAUCUUACAGUCCAAAAGCUGUAAUAAACACAUAAGACGAGAAGACCCUGUGAAACUUCAAGAAACCCCCGCACCCCAAAAACUCGGGGGUACUUUAGGUUGGGGCAACCUUGGAAACAAACAAAACUUCCAAACAAACGGGACUAAACCCACCAAUAGGCCAACACGCCUCGCAUACGACCCAGUAAAACUGACAAAUGAACCAAGCUACUCCAGGGAUAACAGCGCCAUCUUCUUCAAGAGCCCAUAUCAAAAAGAAGGUUUACGACCUCGAUGUUGGAUCAGGACACCCAAGUGGCGCAGCCACUACUAAAGGUUCGUUUGUUCAACGAUUAACAGU